rnacentral:rRNA from 1 species
UAGAGUUUGAUCAUGGCUCAGAUUGAACGCUGGCGGCAGGCCUAACACAUGCAAGUCGAGCGGUAACACAAGGGAGCUUGCUCCUGAGGUGACGAGCGGCGGACGGGUGAGUAAUGCCUAGGUAUCUGCCCAGUCGAGGGGGAUAACAGUUGGAAACGACUGCUAAUACCGCAUACGCCCUACGGGGGAAAGGAGGGGACCUUCGGGCCUUUCGCGAUUGGAUGAACCUAGGUGGGAUUAGCUAGUAGGUGGGGUAAUGGCUCACCUAGGCGACGAUCCCUAGCUGGUCUGAGAGGAUGAUCAGCCACACUGGAACUGAGACACGGUCCAGACUCCUACGGGAGGCAGCAGUGGGGAAUAUUGCACAAUGGGCGAAAGCCUGAUGCAGCCAUGCCGCGUGUAUGAAGAAGGCCUUCGGGUUGUAAAGUACUUUCAGCGAGGAGGAAAGCUCAAUUGUUAAUAGCGAUUGGGUGUGACGUUACUCGCAGAAGAAGCACCGGCUAACUUCGUGCCAGCAGCCGCGGUAAUACGAGGGGUGCAAGCGUUAAUCGGAAUUACUGGGCGUAAAGCGUACGCAGGCGGUUUGUUAAGCGAGAUGUGAAAGCCCCGGGCUCAACCUGGGAACUGCAUUUCGAACUGGCAAACUAGAGUCCUGUAGAGGGGGGUAGAAUUUCA